rnacentral:rRNA from 1 species
AAUAGAUACCCUGGUAGUCCACGCCCUAAACGAUGAAUGCUAGUCGUCGGGGGUACUCGUUACGUUCGGUGAUGCACUUAACAGAUUAAGCAUUCCGCCUGGGGAGUACGGUCGCAAGAUUAAAACUCAAAGGAAUAGACGGGGGACCCGCACAAGUGGUGGAGCAUGUGGUUUAAUUCGAAGAUACACGAAGAACCUUACCUGGCCUUGACAUGGUAGGAACCCUGUAGAGAUACGGGGGUGCUAGCUUGCUAGAACCUACACACAGGUGCUGCACGGCUGUCGUCAGCUCGUGUCGUGAGAUGUUGGGUUAAGUCCCGCAACGAGCGCAACCCUCGUCGUUACGUUGCUAACAGUUCGGCUGAGCACUCUAACGAGACUGCCUUCGUAAGGAGGAGGAAGGUGAGGACGACGUCAAGUCAUCAUGGCCCUUACGGCCAGGGCUACACACGUGCUACAAUGGGGCGUACAAAGAGCUGCAAUACCGCGAGGUGGAGCCAAUCUCUUAAAGCGUCUCUCGGUUCGGAUUGUUCUCUG